rnacentral:rRNA from 1 species
UACAGAGGGGGCAAGCGUUGUUCGGAAUUACUGGGCGUAAGGGCGCGUAGGCGGCCUGUUAAGUCGAACGUGAAAUCCCCGGGCUCAACCCGGGAACUGCGUCCGAUACUGGCAGGCUUGAAUCCGGGAGAGGGAUGCGGAAUUCCAGGUGUAGCGGUGAAAUGCGUAGAUAUCUGGAGGAACACCGGUGGCGAAGGCGGCAUCCUGGACCGGCAUUGACGCUGAGGCGCGAAAGCCAGGGGAGCAAACGGG